UUUCAGAUCAGUGCUGAAUUCAAAAUAAUCACCACAGUUCCCCUGCAAUCCAAGCAACUGUUGCUGAAUUGGCUGAUUUGUACAAGAUGCACCAUUUCUGAGGACUUCUGGCACAGUGGCCUGCACUGUUCAAAGUUCGCAAGAUCAGUGCUGAAUUGAAAAGAAUCACCAGUCCCACUGCAAUGGCCAGCACUGUUCGAAGUCCACAAGGUAAAGCAUUCACUUUGGCCACAACCCUACCCAGUGCACCUUAACAACUUGACUCCUGCUUUAAAUUAGCUGUUAUCUGAAUGGGGG